AUUGAACGCUGGCGGCAUGCUUUACACAUGCAAGUCGAACGGUAACAGGCCGCAAGGUGCUGACGAGUGGCGAACGGGUGAGUAAUGCAUCGGAACGUGCCCAGUCGUGGGGGAUAACGCAGCGAAAGCUGUGCUAAUACCGCAUACGAUCUAUGGAUGAAAGCGGGGGACCGUAAGGCCUCGCGCGAUUGGAGCGGCCGAUGUCAGAUUUAGGUAGUUGGUGGAGUAAAGGCCUACCAAGCCGACGAUCUGUAGCUGGUCUGAGAGGACGACCAGCCACACUGGGACUCGGCAGCGGCCCAGACUCCUACGGGAGGGGGCGGGGGGGAAUUUUGGACAAUGGGCACAAGCUUGUUCCAGCGAUGCCGCGUGCAGGAAGAAGGCCUUCGGGUUGUAAACUGCUUUUGUACGGAACGAAACGGCCUGGGUUAAUACCCUGGGCUAAUGACGGUACCGUAAGAAUAAGCGCCGGCUAACUACGUGCCAGCAGCCGCGGUAAUAC
rnacentral:rRNA from 1 species